CUGAGCCAGAAGAUCGUAAUAUUCGGUGUUUUAUAUCGAAAAAACAAGAUAAUGAUUCCGUGAAUGCGUAAUAUUGCCAAAUUAAAAGCGCACUUGUUCCAACAAUGAUGCCUUAAACUUGUUCUGUGCUUGAGGAUUGGCAGAAGCAUUUUUUGCAUUGGUCAGCCAAUUGAAGCCGCAGGACGAGAAGCAAAAGAAAACGUUUUCGGGCAAUUGCCAAUUUUCUCAGCUAUUCCAUAAGUCACGAAGCAGUCUAACGGUCUAAAGUAGAAAAAUUACCACAACUACUCUAUGUCACACUUAAUCACCCUCUGCCUCAUUUGCGUUUAAAAUUUGAAAUUAAAAUUUUUUCUCGUGAGUGUCUGUUGUGAAACUGAAAUUUUAUUCGAGUUUUGAUAAAUAUUCGAGUAACGAAAUAAUUGAUUCGUCUACUUGUACAUGCAGUUACGCACAUAAGUUCGCAUAAUUAGAAUAAUUUGUGUUAAUCUGAUGUAUACGUUAUUCUUUAACAUAAGCCACAAGCGCGGAGCAUAGAAGACGUGUAACGUUUUCGGUUAUUUCUACAUAGAUGACAUGGGUUUUCGAACCGGUACAUCAUUGAAAUAAUCAGAUGCUCAAGAAUAGUGUAUUACAUUCGAUGCUGCGAAAGUAAUUCAUUACAUGAGGUAACAGUUUUGUCAUAAAAGCACACAUUGUGUGCUUUCUGAGCAACAAGCUUCGGCAACUGUAGAUAUUUUCGGCAAGUAUAGCCAACAAAUCUUGCCCCAUACGAAAGUUGGUUAUCACAACGGAAUUCACGUAAAAUAAAUCGAAAAUAUUCCUUUAUGCAGGGUACAAACUACCAUGUAAUGGACGACUUUCGCUCUGGGGCAUGCAAUAAAAUUAUUUUUGAAUUGUUGGAAUUUUGCAGACUGACCCGAAGGCAGGUAUGUUCACCUGGUCUAAAAUGCGUUUUCCCGGUCUUUGGUGAUGUGAGUAUAGUAAUAGUACUCAGGUUAAUGAAUAGGAAAGAAAUUGUGAUUGUGUGAGAAAAUGACUUCCGUUUGACUCAUCAGUAACGACAUCUCCAGUGAAUGUAAAGGCGUUACGGUUGUAAAUUUAAAUAGCAUCAAGAUUUGCUUUAGCUCCUUGCUGGUUAUUUCUAAUAAAAGAACGGGAAUCGAAUUUUUUUAGAUAAUUUAUUCCUAAUUCGAUGUUCAC